UGCGAAUGGCUCAUUAAAUCAGUUAUCGUUUAUUUGAUAGUACCUUACUACUUGGAUAACCGUGGUAAUUCUAGAGCUAAUACAUGCUAAAAAUCCCGACCUCUGGAAGGGAUGUAUUUAUUAGAUAAAAAACCAAUGCUCUCGGGCUUCUUGGUGAUUCAUGAUAACUUUACGAAUCGCAUGGCCUUGUGCCGGCGAUGGUUCAUUCAAAUUUCUGCCCUAUCAACUUUCGAUGGUAGGAUAGUGGCCUACCAUGGUUUCAACGGGUAACGGGGAAUUAGGGUUCGAUUCCGGAGAGGGAGCCUGAGAAACGGCUACCACAUCCAAGGAAGGCAGCAGGCGCGCAAAUUACCCAAUCCCGACACGGGGAGGUAGUGACAAUAAAUACUGAUACAGGGCCCUUUCGGGUCUUGUAAUUGGAAUGAGUACAAUUUAAACCCUUUAACGAGGAACAAUUGGAGGGCAAGUCUGGUGCCAGCAGCCGCGGUAAUUCCAGCUCCAAUAGCGUAUAUUAAAGUUGUUGCAGUUAAAAAGCUCGUAGUUGAACUUUGGGUCUGGGUGACUGGUCUGCGUCUACCGCAUGUACUAGAAACCCGGAUCUUUCCUUCUGGAGAUCCGCAUGCACUUCACUGGGUGUGCCGGGGAACCAGGACUUUUACUUUGAAAAAAUUAGAGUGUUCAAAGCAGGCAUUUGCUCGAAUACAUUAGCAUGGAAUAAUAAAAUAGGACGUGCGGUUCUAUUUUGUUGGUUUCUAGGACCGCCGUAAUGAUUAAUAGGGAUAGUCGGGGGCAUCCGUAUUCGAUUGUCAGAGGUGAAAUUCUUGGAUUUUUCGAAGACGAACUACUGCGAAAGCAUUUGCCAAGGAUGUUUUCAUUAAUCAGGAACGAAAGUUGAGGGAUCGAAGACGAUCAGAUACCGUCGUAGUCUCAACCAUAAACUAUGCCGACUAGGGAUUGGGCGACUGUGUUUUUUGAGUUGCUCAGCACCUUACGAGAAAUUAAAGUUUUUGGGUUCUGGGGGGAGUAUGGUCGCAAGGCUGAAACUUAAAGGAAUUGACGGAAGGGCACCACCAGGAGUGGAGCCUGCGGCUUAAUUUGACUCAACACGGGGAAACUCACCAGGUCCAGACACAUUAAGGAUUGACAGAUUGAGAGCUCUUUCUUGAUCAUGUGGGUGGUGGUGCAUGGCCGUUCUUAGUUGGUGGAGUGAUUUGUCUGCUUAAUUGCGAUAACGAACGAGACCUUAACCUGCUAAAUAGCUGGGCUCG
rnacentral:rRNA from 1 species